UGGGGAAUCUUGCGCAAUGGGCGAAAGCCUGACGCAGCCAUGCCGCGUGUAUGAUGAAGGUCUUAGGAUUGUAAAAUACUUUCACCGGUGAAGAUAAUGACUGUAGCCGGAGAAGAAGCCCCGGCUAACUUCGUGCCAGCAGCCGCGGUAAUACGAAGGGGGCCAGCGUUGCUCGGAAUUACUGGGCGUAAAGGGAGCGUAGGCGGACAUUUAAGUCAGGGGUGAAAUCCCGAGGCUCAACCUCGGAACUGCCCUUGAUACUGGGUGUCUUGAGUGUGAGAGAGGUAUGUGGAACUCCGAGUGUAGAGGUGAAAUUCGUAGAUAUUCGGAAGAACACCAGUGGCGAAGGCGACAUACUGGCUCAUUACUGACGCUGAGGCUCGAAAGCGUGGGAAGCAAACAGGAUUAGAUACCCUGGUAGUCCACGCCGUAAACGAUGAUUGCUAGUUGUCGGGGGGUUUACCUCUCGGUGACGCAGCUAACGCAUUAAGCAAUCCGCCUGGGGAGUACGGUCGCAAGAUUAAAACUUAAAGGAAUUGACGGGGUCAUAGCUGUUUCC
rnacentral:rRNA from 1 species